rnacentral:rRNA from 1 species
AUUGAACGCUGGCGGCAUGCUUUACGCAUGCAAGUCGAACGGGCUGGGGGCAACUCCAGUCAGUGGCGAACGGGUGAGUAAUGCAUCGGAACGUGUCCCGUAGUGGGGGAGUAACCCGGCGAAAGCCGGACUAAUACCGCAUAUGCUCUACGGAGGAAAGUGGGGACCGCGAAGGCCUCACGCUAUGGAGCGGCCGAUGUCCGAUUAGCUUGUUGGUGGGGUAAUGGCCUACCAAGGCGACGAUCGGUAGCUGGUCUGAGAGGAUGAUCAGCCACACUGGGACUGAGACACGGCCCAGACU